rnacentral:rRNA from 1 species
ACGGUAACAGGGGAGCUUGCUCCCGCUGACGAGUGGCGAACGGGUGAGUAAUGCAUCGGAACGUGCCGAAUAGUGGGGGAUAACGCACCGAAAGGUGUGCUAAUACCGCAUACGCCCUGAGGGGGAAAGUGGGGGACCGCAAGGCCUCACGCUAAUCGAGCGGCCGAUGUCGGAUUAGCUAGUUGGUGGGGUAAAGGCUCACCAAGGCGACGAUCCGUAGCGGGUCUGAGAGGAUGAUCCGCCACACUGGGACUGAGACACGGCCCAGACUCCUACGGGAGGCAGCAGUGGGGAAUUUUGGACAAUGGGGGAAACCCUGAUCCAGCCAUGCCGCGUGUCUGAAGAAGGCCUUCGGGUUGUAAAGGACUUUUGUCCGGGAGGAAACCCUGAUCGUUAAUAGCGGUCGGGACUGACAGUACCGGAAGAAUAAGCACCGGCUAACUACGUGCCAGCAGCCGCGGUAAUACGUAGGGUGCAAGCGUUAAUCGGAAUUACUGGGCGUAAAGCGUGCGCAGGCGGUGAGAUAAGUCAGCUGUGAAAGCCCCGGGCUCAACCUGGGAACUGCGGCCGAAACUGUCUCGCUAGAGUACGUCAGAGGGGGGUGGAAUUCCACGUGUAGCAGUGAAAUGCGUAGAGAUGUGGAGGAACACCAAUGGCGAAGGCAGCCCCCUGGGAUGAUACUGACGCUCAUGCACGA